rnacentral:rRNA from 1 species
AUUGAACGCUGGCGGCAUGCCUUACACAUGCAAGUCGAACGGCAGCACGGGAGCAAUCCUGGUGGCGAGUGGCGAACGGGUGAGUAAUGUAUCGGAACGUGCCCAGUCGUGGGGGAUAACGCAGCGAAAGCUGUGCUAAUACCGCAUACGAUCUAUGGAUGAAAGCGGGGGAUCGCAAGACCUCGCGCGAUUGGAGCGGCCGAUAUCAGAUUAGCUAGUUGGUGGGGUAAAGGCUCACCAAGGCGACGAUCUGUAGCUGGUCUGAGAGGACGACCAGCCACACUGGAACUGAGACACGGUCCAGACUCCUACGGGAGGCAGCAGUGGGGAAUUUUGGACAAUGGGCGCAAGCCUGAUCCAGCAAUGCCGCGUGCAGGAUGAAGGCC